AGACACAGACUGCAAUAUCGGUAGUUGAAGAGGAUCUAAAACGAUUACAGCUUAAGCUAAGAGCCUCCAUGUCCACUAAAUGUAACCUGGAAGACCAGAUAAAGAAAUUGGAAGAUGACCGCAACUCACUGCUAUCUGCCAAAGAUGGACUGGAAGAUGAGUUCAGAACCCUGAGGCAGAAAGUGGAGAUUCUGAAUGAACUGUAUCAGCAGAAGGAGAUGGCUUUGCAAAA